CCUACGGGUGGCAGCAGUGAGGAAUAUUGGUCAAUGGGCGUAAGCCUGAACCAGCCAAGUCGCGUGAGGGAUGAAGGUUCUAUGGAUCGUAAACCUCUUUUAUAAGGGAAUAAAGUGCGGGACGUGUCCCGUUUUGUAUGUACCUUAUGAAUAAGGAUCGGUUAACUCCGUGCCAGCAGCCGCGGUAAUACGGAGGAUCCGAGCUUUAACCGGGUUUAUUGGGUUUAAAGGGUGCGUAGGCGGCCUUUUAAGUCAGCGGGGAAAGUCUGUGGCUCAAACACAGAAGUGCCGUUGAAACUGGGGGUCUUGAGUAUGUUUGAGGCAGGCGGAAUGCGUGGUGUAGCGGUGAAAUGCUUAGAUAUCACGCAGAACUCCGAUUGCGAAGGCAGCCUGCCAAGCCAUGACUGACGCUGAUGCACGAAAGCGUGGGGAUCGAACAGGAUUAGAUACCCGGGUAGUC
rnacentral:rRNA from 1 species